UUCCUACGGGAGGCAGCAGUGAGGAAUAUUGGUCAAUGGGCUUACGCCUGAACCAGCCAAGUCGCGUGAGGGAAGACUGCCCUAUGGGUUAUAAACCUCUUUUGUCAGGGAUCAACGCCGGCUACGUGUAGCCGGACUGAGAGUACCUGAAGAAAAAGCAUCGGCUAACUCCGUGCCAGCAGCCGCGGUAAUACGGAGGGCGCGAGCGUUAAUCGGAAUUACUGGGCGUAAAGCGCGCGUAGGCUGUUGUGUAAGUUGGGGGUGAAAUCCCACGGCUCAACCGUGGAACAGCCCUUGAUACUGCG
rnacentral:rRNA from 1 species